GAUGAACGCUGGCGGCGUGCCUAACACAUGCAAGUCGAACGAAGCGGCUCAAAGUUUUCGGAAUGAUUGGUGACUGAGUGGCGGACGGGUGAGUAACGCGUGGGUAACCUGCCUCACACAGGGGUAUAACAGCUAGAAAUGACUGCUAAUACCGCAUAAGACCACAGUACCGCAUGGUACAGUGAUAAAAACUCCGGUGGUGUGAGAUGGACCCGCGUCUGAUUAGCUAGUUGGUGGGGUAACGGCCUACCAAGGCGACGAUCAGUAGCCGGCCUGAGAGGGUGAACGGCCACAUUGGGACUGAGACACGGCCCAA
rnacentral:rRNA from 1 species